ensembl:lncRNA
ACCAAACCUCAGUGGAUUCCCAAGUCCAAGCCUCCUGACUGUGGCUGGGCCUGUGUGGUAGUGAAAACUGGCAGCUUCACCUCCCAUAGGCAUGGAAUGCAUAAGGACAAGCAAUUAUCCUGUUUCCUCAGGAGAGUAAUGGAUUACACCUCACACACACUGUAUCAACUGCACUGUACCAGGAAGCAGAGGGAAAUUCCAUGUCCUUUCUACUUUGAAAUAGGAGAAAAGAGACAGAUAAACUGAAGGAAUGAAGACAAAGUGGAAGUGCCUAAACAUUUCAAGGUACAGAUUUCACACACUAUGGUGGAAAAACAGAUAAGACAGGAAGUUCUGAAGGAAUGAGAUAGAGUUUAAUAACCUGAGCUGAACAACGUUACACACGAAGGAGCUGGAACGUAUUAGCGACUCCAGUGAAGAGUUCUCAGCAGGAAGAAGAAGCAGAUGAUUCACCACCCUUUGUUUAUGUUGGAGAAGCCAGAAGCCUUUGUUUGUAACGACAGCUUCAAGACACUUCCUGUAUGAAGAAAUUAAUGGGAUGCAGUAUUCAGGUGUGAUUUUGGUCAAUUCUUCUAAACACAUUGUCUUUAAAUCUUGUUCAAUUGGAUUCAAGUCAGGUGAUUGACUGGGCCAUUCUAACCUUGAAUUUUUUCCCCUGAAACCAAUUUAGAGUUUCCUUUGCUGUAUGCUUUGGAUUGUUGUCCUGCUGGAUGGUCCACCCACAUCUCAUCUUCAUCAUCCUGGUGGAUGGCAGCAGAUUCUUCUCAAGAGUUUCCCGGGGGGACACCAUCUGCUAUCACACCAAGUUCACAGAGGCUACAAAUGUUCUGAGGAGAUUUUACUUUCCAUACCAGGAAUCUACAAUGCAAAGGGGAGUCUGAUUUUGUCUAAUUAUUGUUUCUGUAUUUCUGUAUUAAUGUACAUGUUUAUAGAAUUAUGUAUUCAGUUGAAUUUUCUGUGUAUUACUGUGCACAUAAUUAUGAACUCAGCUAAUUAAUGAUCUAAAUCUUAUCCUAACAUUAACCUGAGUAAUUAAAAGAAAAGCAUUUUUUUUUAAAGGGUCAACACUGUCAGAUGUUCCUGUUCUUGUGGAGCCUUUUGGUCUCCACCAAGUUAUAAAAACAUACCCACACCCACGCAUGCACACACACACACACACACACACACACACACACACACACACACACACACACACACACACACACACACACAAAUACUAGAAUAACCUAUAAUGCUGUAAUCUGUUUAAAUGCCAUGAUAAUCCAUUAUUACUUAUAAAAACACAGCUAGAACAACAGGCUUUUUGAUUCCAAGACAUCAUAAUCAUCAGAGGUUACAUUAUCUAAUACAAACACACUUCCAAUAUUGAGCACAACAGUCUAAUGCCAAGAACUAGUCUUUGUGAGAUGCUGAAGUGUUGAACACAAGACAUGCCCUUGAUAUGGCAUGGCAUGUUUUUUAUACAACACUGAAACAAAUCUGUCUGGGAUGAAAUUUAAGACAAAGCUGGGAGCCAAAACAAUGAGUGAGCUGAAUGAUAAGCUAAAGGCAAAAUGGAAACCUGCUGGAACACAGCUCAUGCAUGUCAGCUAUAUUGCUUCAUAAUCCCCCUGUUAUCUACAACAGGUAUGUCCCCUCCCUUUUGCCUGCG